UACGUAGGGUGCAAGCGUUAAUCGGAAUUACUGGGCGUAAAGCGUGCGCAGGCGGUUUUGUAAGUCUGACGUGAAAUCCCCGGGCUCAACCUGGGGAUUGCGAUGGAGACUGCAAGGCUAGAAUCUGGCAGAGGGGGGUAGAAUUCCACGUGUGAGCAGUGAAAUGCGUAGAGAUGUGGAGGAACACCGAUGGCGAAGGCAGCCCCCUGGGUCAAGAUUGACGCUCAUGCACGAAAGCGUGGGAAGCAAACAGG
rnacentral:rRNA from 1 species